AGUGAACGCUGGCGGUAGGCCUAACACAUGCAAGUCGAACGGCAGCACAGUAAGAGCUUGCUCUUACGGGUGGCGAGUGGAGGACGGGUGAGGAAUACAUCGGAAUCUACUUUUUCGUGGGGGAUAACGUAGGGAAACUUACGCUAAUACCGCAUACGACCUACGGGUGAAAGCAGGGGAUCUUCGGACCUUGCGCGAUUGAAUGAGCCGAUGUCGGAUUAGCUAGUUGGCGGGGUAAAGGCCCACCAAGGCGACGAUCCGUAGCUGGUCUGAGAGGAUGAUCAGCCACACUUGAACUGAGACACGGUCCAGACUCCUACGGGAGGCAGCAGUGGGGAAUAUUGGACAAUGGGCGCAAGCCUGAUCCAGCCAUACCGCGUGGGUGAAGAAGGCCUUCGGGUUGUAAAGCCCUUUUGUUGGGAAAGAAAAGCAGCAGGUUAAUACCCCGCUGUUCUGACGGUACCCAAAGAAUAAGCACCGGCUAACUUCGUG
rnacentral:rRNA from 1 species